rnacentral:rRNA from 1 species
UCGGGAAUUUUGGGCAAUGGGCGAAAGCCUGACGCAGCAACGCCGCGUGAGGGAUGAAGUAUUUCGGUAUGUAAACCUCGACAGAAUGGGAAGAAUAAAUGGCGGUACCAUUUAUAAGCUCCGGCUAACUACGUGCCAGCAGCCGCGGUAAUACGUAGGGAGCACGCGUUGUUCGGAUUUACUGGGCGUAAAGGGCGCGUAGGCGGCGCGGUAAGUCACUUGUGAAAUCUCUGAGCUUAACUCAGAACGGCCAAGUGAUACUGCUGUGCUAGAGUGCGGAAGAGGCAACCGGAAUUCUUGGUGCAGCGGUGAAAUGCGUAGAUAUCGAGAGAAACACCUGAGGCGAAGGCGAGGUGCUGGGGCGACACUGACGCUGAUGCGCGAAAGCCAGGGGAGCAAACG